rnacentral:snRNA from 1 species
GUGCCUUCUUUGGCUGCACAUAUACUAAAAUUGGAACGAUACAGAGAAGAUUAGCAUGGCCUUUGUGCAAGGGUGAUGCGCAAAUUCAUGAAGCAUUCCAUGUUUUU